UGCGGUCGACGAAUGCGGCCUUCUUUUCGCCUGAAUGAAGGAUGGGUCGGGUGUAUCCUUCAAUAGGUAGCAUUUCCCAAGAUGCCUUGCGGGCCGGCCAGCAGAAAAACUUAAAAACAAUGGCGGACAGUGAAGCGGGAGCUGUCGGAGAGGAUUGCGCUUAUAAAUGACCAAAAGAGAAAACCAGGGAAUUUAUUAAGCUUAGGGCGGAGAUGGACCACAUGAUCACCGGAGCAAAGUAUUCGGCGGCUGUGGCAUGGAGACUAUUCUGGAGAAAAUGGGCAUCCAGGGGAAGGUGCCAGCGAUGAGCUUCUGGAGCUGAUCUGGGAGGACAUGAGGCUGCAGAGCAGCAGAGAGCACAGGAGAGAAGGAAGAACUUUGACAGCUUUUUACUUUGCUAGAAAAAAAUGGUUAAUGAAGAUUAAACAUGUACAUGUAAAAGAAAUAUCUAAAUAAAAUCAGUUCUGCAUUAAA